CCCAGACUCCUACGGGAGGCAGCAGUGGGGAAUAUUGCACAAUGGGGGAAACCCUGAUGCAGCGACGCCGCGUGAGUGAAGAAGUAUUUCGGUAUGUAAAGCUCUAUCAGCAGGGAAGAAAAUGACGGUACCUGAUUAAGAAGCCCCGGCUAACUACGUGCCAGCAGCCGCGGUAAUACGUAGGGGGCAAGCGUUAUCCGGAUUUACUGGGUGUAAAGGGAGCGUAGACGGUGAUGCAAGUCAGAAGUGAAAGCCCGGGGCUCAACUCCGGGACUGCUUUUGAAACUGUGUGACUGGAGUGCAGGAGAGGUAAGCGGAAUUCCUGGUGUAGCGGUGAAAUGCGUAGAUAUCAGGAGGAACACCAGUGGCGAAGGCGGCUUACUGGACUGUAACUGACGUUGAGGCUCGAAAGCGUGGGGAGCAAACAGGAUUAGAUACCCGCGUAU
rnacentral:rRNA from 1 species